CGGACGAAUAAAUCUUGCUUGUAUUUUGUAUAUAAUAUUUAUUAUGCAGACUUUGUUUCAUAAUAAACAAUUUGUCAAGUGUCAUUUAUUUACUGGUAAUCGUGCAUGUUUCAGUCGGGCAAAUCUUGAUUAAUAUUUGAUACGCCGUUUUUGCAUAUUUCACACACAUCCAGAAAUAUGCUCGCGAAUUUAAACAUUAAUAUCUCCGUUAAUUUUUGAGUGAAAUACAACUGUAAUAUAUCAAAAUCUAAGUUAGCCCUUCC